UGGGGAAUAUUGCACAAUGGGCGCAAGCCUGAUGCAGCCAUGCCGCGUGUGUGAAGAAGGCUUUCGGGUUGUAAAGCACUUUCAGUGGGGAGGAAAGGGAGCCGGUUAAUACCCGGUUUCUGUGACGUUACCCACAGAAGAAGCACCGGCUAACUCCGUGCCAGCAGCCGCGGUAAUACGGAGGGUGCGAGCGUUAAUCGGAAUUACUGGGCGUAAAGCGCGCGUAGGCGGUGAUCUAAGCUAGAUGUGAAAUCCCUGGGCUCAACCUGGGACGUGCAUUUAGAACUGGAUGACUGGAGUACAGCAGAGGGGUGUGGAAUUUCCGGUGUAGCGGUGAAAUGCGUAGAGAUCGGAAGGAACAUCAGUGGCGAAGGCGACACUCUGGGCUGAUACUGACGCUGAGGUGCGAAAGCGUGGGGAGCAAACAGGAUUAGAUACCCCCGUAGUCC
rnacentral:rRNA from 1 species